UCCCUGAUGGUCUAGUGGUUAGGAUUCAGCACUUUCACUGCUGUGGCCUGGGUUUGAUUCCCAGUCAGGGAA
rnacentral:tRNA from 1 species